rnacentral:tRNA from 1 species
ACCCUCCUCGUUCAACGGACAGGACACCUCGCUACGGACGAGGAGACUGGGGUUCGAUUCCCUAGGAGGGUACCA